UAAACACUGUUGCUGUGGAACCUGUGCAAACAAGGCCACGCCCUUUAAUAAUUCCUUCUGAGGAUGAAGAUUCGUUGCCACCCACUCCUCCUCUUCCUCCCCGGGUCAGGGAGAAAUCUCGUGCACGUGAUGUUUACAGCCAACAACCACUGCAUUUCACCAGUCCUAAAGCUGGUCUCUCCUCCUCAUUCCCAUGUUCCUCCAAGCACCAGGCAUGUCACACGAAUACAAGAUCACUGCCAGCACUGGAAGAAAGCCUUAG